rfam:Myotis lucifugus cont2.32403, whole genome shotgun sequence.
GAGACACCCUUAUGGGGCAGGACUUGCUUCAGUGGGGCUUUGGUGCUCACUGAGUCUUCCCCUUGAGUGUGAAUCU